UACGAAGGGGGCUAGCGUUGUUCGGAAUUACUGGGCGUAAAGCGCACGUAGGCGGAUACUUAAGUCAGGGGUGAAAUCCCGGGGCUCAACCCCGGAACUGCCUUUGAUACUGGGUAUCUCGAGUCCGGAAGAGGUGAGCGGAAUUCCGAGUGUAGAGGUGAAAUUCGUAGAUAUUCGGAGGAACACCAGUGGCGAAGGCGGCUCACUGGUCCGGUACUGACGCUGAGGUGCGAAAGCGUGGGGAGCAAACAGG
rnacentral:rRNA from 1 species